rnacentral:rRNA from 1 species
AGUGAACGCUGGCGGUAGGCCUAACACAUGCAAGUCGAACGGCAGCACAGUAAGAGCUUGCUCUUACGGGUGGCGAGUGGCGGACGGGCGAGGAAUACAUCGGCAUCUACUUUUUCGUGGGGGAUAACGUAGGGAAACUUACGCUAAUACCGCAUACGACCUACGGGUGAAAGCAGAGGAUCUUCGGACCUUGCGCGAUUGAAUGAGCCGAUGUCGGAUUAGCUAGUUGGCGGGGUAACGGCACACCAAGGCGACGAUCCGUAGCUGAUCUGAGAGGAUGAUCGGCCACACUGGAACUGAGACACGGUCCAGACUCCUACGGGAGGCAGCAGUGGGGAAUAUUCCACAAUGGGCGCAAGCCUGAUGCAGCAAUGCCGCGUGAGUGAAGAAGGUCUUCGGGUCGUAAAGCUCUGUUAUUAGGAAAGAAAAGAUGUAUAUGAAAACGUCGACGUCUUGACGGUACCUAAUGAAUAAGCACCGGCUAACUUCGUG